rnacentral:lncRNA from 10 species
UGCAGGACAUCAAGGGCUCCGGACAUUGUGAAAGUUUCCCUUUAAGUUACGACGGGAAUCCAGAACAACGCCGUAUGGACCCCUCUGUAGGUAGCGUGGAAAGCGAUUGAACUUGUUAAAGCAAGGCUCUGUCUUACAGCAAGCUGUUUGAGUCCAGGAGUUCAAGACCAGCCUGAGCAACAUAGCAAGACCCCAUCUGUACAGAAUAAAUAUAAAGAUUAGCUGGGCUUGGUGGUGCAUACCUGUGGUCCCAGUUACUCUGGAGGCUUAGGUGGGAGAAUCGCUUGAGCCCAGGAGUUCAAGGCUGCAGUGAGCCAUGAUCCUAUCAAUGCACUCCAGCCAGGGUGACAGAGACCCUGUCUCCUAAAAGAAGAAGAAAGAAAGCAGCUUGAAGCAGAAAAGACAAGGAACCAGACCAGAAAGAGACCUCUUUGAGAAAAAGGAUUGAACUCUGCAAACAUUGUCCAUGGAAGCCCUAUAAAGAUAGGGCUUUUUCAAGGAGGUGGAAAAAGGAAGUCGUUGUUCAAUAGGGACAAAGUUUCAGAUUCACAGGAAGAAAAAGUUCUGGAGAUCUGUUUCUCGGCAAUGUGAAUAUACUUAACAUUACUAAACUGCACACUUAAAAAUGGUUAAGAUGGUAAAUUUUAGGUUAUGUAUUUUUUUAACCACAGUAAAACAAUUUUGUGUGUUUUGAAAAAUCUUAUUUCAGCAAGAAAGCUAGAUAAACUAUCUCUUAAUUACUCUUCAAUACUCCCUAGUUGCAACAGGGAUUACAAAUCAAACUGAGUGUUUCAAAUUUCUGGGCCAUGUGGUUCAUCCUAAUAAUAGUAAUAAUUAUAAUAACCCAGGCACACAGGAGUUUAAUGGUCUUAUCCAAGUUGCCUGAGUACAAAGCGCAAUUAUUAACCUCACCUAAUAAACAUCCAGAGAUGCACGUAGUCCAUGGGUUAGGAUGCAAUUUUAAUGCUCAAUAUUAAACAAUAACGGGCUUUGAGCUUCAAAGGAAACUUGGUAAAUUUUAUAAAAUAUAGAAUAUGGCAUAGUUAGUGAUACUUUGAUGGUCUGUCACUUAAGAUAAAAGAGAUUAAUGAAUGUAAAUUAGAAAUAUUUCCCAGUUCUCUAGAUUGAGGCUUGCCAUGAGAGUUGAAAAAUUUCAUUUUCACAACAUGUGAUUUAAUGAGAUGACAUACAUAGAAAACACACGGCCUAUCACCAGACAUGGAGCACAGCUUUUUGUCUCUUUUAUUUCAUAAUGUACCUAGACUAGUACUUGGCAUAGUAGAUACUCAAUACACAUUUGUUUAGUAAAUAGCAAGGGCUCAAUAAAUGAUAGCUAACAAUGAUUUAGAUUCCAACAAGAAAGAAAAAUGCUCUUAAUGGAUAAUGUGGCAAAGCUGACAACAUUGGAAUAAAUUGCAACUCAAGAUAUUUCACGAAAGGAAAUAGUUGCUAAAAAUUCAGAAGCAAUAAGAAAGACAGUGAAAUCUAUGAAAGAUAAUACAAAAGAGGCAGCUUGUGGAAACCCAAGGACGGGGCAAUAGGUGGGCAUAUACUAUGUCAAUAGAUAGUAGUCUCAAAGUAAAGCAUGUGGUUUUCAGAUGUCCCCUUUUCUCUGUGACUCAAUUUAUCCAAUAUUAAUUUAACACACAUUUAAUAAGUACCAGGUGCUGUGCUUGCCCUGAAGAUGCGAACAUGUGUAAAAUGAAACCUAGGCCCUGUCAUUUAAGGAGUUCACAGUUAAGAAGGAAAUGCAGACACAACAAAAUAUAAUGUAACAUAACAUAAUGUAAUAUAAGUGGCCACACAGAAGAAGAGUGUGAUUAAUAUUGU